rnacentral:lncRNA from 1 species
GGAGCAGGUAGAGGAGCAGGCAUGACUGCAGAGGGAGCUGAACCGACAUUUCUGAAGGAAGACGUGCAAAUGACCAAUGAGAGCUUGAAGAAAUUCUCAGCAUCAUUCAUCAUCAAAGACACACAAGUCAAAACCACAACGAGGUGUCCUCUCAUCCCACAGAAUGGCCACGAUCAAAAAGGCAAAAAUAAAUCCUGCAGAGGAAGUGAAGAAAGGGAACUCGCAUGCUGUUAGUGGGAAGUUGUACAACCACUAAGGAAAAUGGUUUGGAGGUUCCUCAAAAAGCUCAAAAUAGAGCUAACCCAGCAAUCCGUCAUGAUAUUUUGAUACACGUAUACAAUGUGUAGAGAUCAUUCAGAGUGAACAGUAUAUCAUCUCCUCAAACAUUUAUCAUUUCUUUGUGUUGGGAACACUCAAUAUCUUCUCCUCUAGCUAUCUGCAAAUGUGCAAUAAAUUAUCGUUAACCCCAGUCAUCAUACAGUGCUACAGAACACUAUGGCUUAUUCCCCCUGUGUGGCUGUAGUUUUGUAUAUGUGAACCAGGCUCUCCCCUUUCCCUCCUCCCCACCCCUUCCCAGCCCCUGCUUACCACCCUUCUACUCUCUACUCCUGAGAUCAACUUCUUUAGCUUGCACCGGUGAGUGAGAUCAUGCAGUUCAUCUUUCUGUGCCUGGCUUAUUUCAUUUAACAUAAUGUCUUCCAAGCUCACCUGUAUUGUCACAUAUGGCAGAAUUUUGGUCUGUUUUAGGGUUAAAUAGAAUUCCACUGUGUGUAUACACCAUCUUUUCUUUUCCAUUACUUUUCCAUUCAUCUGUUGACAAGCACUUAGGUGCUUUCAUAUCGUGGCUAUUGUGAGCAGUGCUGCAAUAAACAUGGGGUGCAGAUGUCUCUUCAACACACUGAUUUAUUUUCCUUUGGAUACACACCCCAUAGAGAUCGCGCCACAGCACUCCAGCCUGGGCGACAGAGCGAGGCUCUGUCUCAAAAAAAAAAAAAAAUCCUAGAAGAAAAGUUAGGAAAUUUCCUUCAUGAUAUCAGCCUCGGAAAAAAAAAGUAUGGCUAAGUCCUCAUAAGCAAUUGCUACAAAAACAAAAAUUGACAAGCGGGACCUAAUUAAACUGAAGAGCUUCUGCACAGUAAGAGAAACUAACAGGGAGUCAACACUCAACCUACAAAAUGGGUGAAAAUAUUCACAUGCUGUGCAUUUGACAAAAGUCUAAUAUCUGCAAUCUACAAGGAACUUAAACAAAUCAACAAGCAAAAGACAAAUAACUUCAUUAAGAAGUGAGUAAAGGAUAUGAACAGACACUUCUCAAAAGAAGACAUGCACAUGGCCAACAGCUAUAUGAAAAAAUGCUCCACAUCACUAACUAUUAGGGGAAUGUAAAUCAAAACCACCACGAGAUACCAUCUCAUAUCAGUCAGAAUGGCUUUUGAUAAAAAGUAAAAAACAACACAAAACAAAAAAACCUAAAAUCAGAUGCUGGCAAAGCUUGAGAGAAAAGGGAACACUUGUACACUGUCGGUGGGAAUGUAAAUGAAUUCAGCCACCACGGAGAGCAGUUUGGAGAUUUCUCAAAGAGCUAAGAAUUGAACUACUAUUUGACCCAGCAAUCUCAUUAUUGGGUAUAUACCCAAAGGGAAAUAUAUCAAUCUACCAAAAAGACACAUGCAUCUAUAUGUUAAUUGCAGUGCUAUUCACAGAAGCAAAGAUGUGGAAUCAACCCAGGUGCCCAUCAAUGGUGGAUUGGAUAAAGAAAAAGUGGUACAUAUACACCAUGGAAUACUACACAGCUACAAAAAAGAAUGAAGUCAUAUCUUUUGCAGCAAUAUGGAUGAAGCUGGAGGCCAUUAUCCUAAGAGAACUAAUGCAGAAGCAGAAAACCAAAUACCACAUAUUCUCACUUAUAAGUGAGAGCUAAACUUUGAGUCCACAUGGACAUAAAGAUGAAAACCAUAGACACUGGGGAACAACAGGAGGGAGGAAUGGAGGGAGGGGGCAAGGGCUGAAUACUGGGGAACAAGAGGAGAGAGCAAGGGGGCAAGGACUGAAAAGCUACUGGGUACUACAGUCACUAUUUUGGUGAUGGAUUCAUUCAUACUCCAAACCUCAGCAUCACACAAUAUACCCAUGUGACAAACCUGCACAUGUACUGCCUGAUUCUAAAAUAAAAGUUGAAGAAAAAGUUCUUUAUAUACUCUAGAUACUAGAUGCUUAUCAGAUAUCUGAUUUGUAAAUCUUUUCUUCCUUUAUUAUGUAGACUGUUCUUUCACUUUGUUGAUAGCGUCCUUUGGUGCAAAAAUAUUUAACUUUUGAUGGCAUCCAAUGUAUUUGUAUUUCUCUUUUGUUGCUGGUGCUUUUGGUGUCCUAUCUAU